CCUACGGGAGGCAGCAGUGGGGAAUAUUGGGCAAUGGGCGCAAGCCUGACCCAGCAACGCCGCGUGAAGGAAGAAGGCUCUCGGGUUGUAAACUUCUUUUAUCAGGGACGAAGCAAGUGACGGUAGCUGAUGAAUAAGCCACGGCGAACUACGUGCCAGCAGCCGCGGCAAUACGGAGGUGGCAAGCGUUAUCCGGAUUUACUGGGUGUACAGGGCGUGUAGGCGGGAAAGCAAGUCAGAUGUGAAAACUGUGGGCCCAACCUGUGGACUGCAUUUGAAACUGUUUUGCUUGAGUACUGGAGAGGCAGACGGAAUGCCUGGUGUAGCGGUGAAAUGCGUAGAUAUUAGGAGGAACACCGGUGGCGAAGGCGGUCUGCUGGACAGCAACUGACGCUGAGGCGCGAAAGCGUGGGGAGCAAACAGGAUUAGAUACCCCGGUAGUC
rnacentral:rRNA from 1 species